rnacentral:rRNA from 1 species
UACGUAGGGUGCAAGCGUUAAUCGGAAUUACUGGGCGUAAAGCGUGCGUAGGCGGUUUUGUAAGUCUGAUGUGAAAUCCCCGGGCUCAACCUGGGAAUUGCAUUGGAGACUGCAAGGCUAGAAUCUGGCAGAGGGGGGUAGAAUUCCACGUGUAGCAGUGAAAUGCGUAGAGAUGUGGAGGAACACCGAUGGCGAAGGCAGCCCCCUGGGUCAAGAUUGACGCUUAUGCACGAAAGCGUAGGGAGCAAACAGG